AUGUUGUGAAAGGACAAAGAAGUAAGUUUAUUUUAUAUAUGCCUAUAAAAUUUUGAUUAGUUUAGAUAUUGAGAUAUUUUGGAUGGAGAAAGGUGGAGUGAGCAAUGGUUGAGAUGAUUGUAGAUGGGAAGUUGAAGAAAUUCUAAUUUAUAAAUCGUCAUGGGUCCUCAAUUGAUAGCAUUCCACGGAAUUCAAUUGAGAUGAGAGAAGGGAACAACGGGAUAAGAGCGAUGACUUCUCUGGACAAACUGGAGCGAGGCAGUGCGCACGUUAACCACAAUCACCAAAAGACCAAUAAUGAUGAUGCUAACUACCACCACCACCACCACGGCGCUGGAUGUGGAGGUGGGGGGUCUGCAUCGUCGGAAACCGCGCAGGAUAACAAGAAAAUUGGAGGUGGAGGUGGAGUUGGGGUCUUCAAAAUUUGUAGGAGAAGUAUUAGUAUUGGAGUAAUAAGCUUGUUCAUUUUCCAAUUUGUAUAGCUGAUAUGUCCUGGGGGCAUGACUAUGUGAUUUGUCGCUGGAGAGCUAUGAAGUUGGAGAGAAAAAGUAUCCAAGAAGAGAUCAAGAGGACUCAAAGCUAUGGGAAACAUGGAAUCUGACUCGGAGUAAACUACUACUGGCUUCUGUUUGGAAAGGUCACCAUUGAGUGGAAAAAAGGCAGAAACAACUACUUCAUGAGUCAGAAUAUGAGCUGUUUCGUAUUCCUCAAACAUCAAAUUCCAUCUAUUACUCAAUUUCAAGCAUCUAAGUAAGGUAUAUUCAAGUUUUUCCUUUAAUGUGUUGGUCUCACUCAGUUGAAUAAAAAUCAAGAAAUUCUUGUUUCACCGGACGAGGUUAGAUCCAAACAUCAUAACGAUCCAUCAGUGAUGGAUAAGCUCCGUGAGAAAUUGAAGUCGAAAUCUCAAGUUCAACAUUCACCCAAAGAAGCCGACAAGAAGAUUGAAGGGGUUACAACACGCCCUAAUCUCCCAAAGGGAAUGAAGUAUGUCAUUAAGAAGAUACCCUCACACUCCCUAAGAUUCGGCACUACAUAUACGACUAAUUUUAUUAAUGAUUUCAAAUCAUCAAUAGGUGAUGAAGCUAUACAAUUAUUUCGACAAACCAUAUUUGGUCACUAUCUAGAUAUGCCACAGUGCAAUUUUCAAGAGCAAAUCAUCAAAUGUCUCUUACUUCUUGAGGUCGAGCAAAAAAAUAGAGAGGAAUUGCAUACCUCCUGAUCAAGGAGAACCGAUGGACGUCGAGUAGUUUUUUUUAAUUUUACAGUAGUAGAAUGUACAAUUAAGUUUUUGCACC